rnacentral:rRNA from 1 species
GAUGAACGCUAGCUACAGGCUUAACACAUGCAAGUCGAGGGGCAGCAUGAACAUAGCUUGCUAUGUUUGAUGGCGACCGGCGCACGGGUGCGUAACACGUAUCCAAUCUACCCAUGGCUCGGGGAUAGCCUUUCGAAAGAAAGAUUAAUACCCGAUGGUCUCGGUUUAAGGCAUCUUAGACUGAGUAAAGAUUUAUCGGCGAUGGAUGAGGAUGCGCCUGAUUAGGUAGAUGGCGGGGUAACGGCCCACCAUGCCUACGAUCAGUAGGGGUUCUGAGAGGAAGGUCCCCCACAUUGGAACUGAGACACGGUCCAAACUCCUACGGGAGGCAGCAGUGAGGAAUAUUGGUCAAUGGACGAGAGUCUGAACCAGCCAAGUAGCGUGAAGGAUGACUGCCCUAUGGGUUGUAAACUUCUUUUGUUUGGGAAUAAAGUUCGGGACGUGUCCCGUUUUGUAUGUACCAUUCGAAUAAGCAUCGGCUAGUUCCGUGCCAGCAGCCGCAGUAAAAC